rnacentral:rRNA from 1 species
ACAUACUACCAACGGCGGCGCAAGUGUAAGCCUCUUGGAACAGAGCGUCUACCUGGGUGAGAAUCCUGUGUUUCGCUUGAUGCCCGCCGUGCACGGUACUUGCUCUUAGAGUCACGCUCCUCGGAAUUGGAGCGUAAAUUGGGUGGUAAAUUUCAUCUAAAGCUAAAUAUAGGCUCGAGACCGAUAGCAAACAAGUACCAUGAGGGAAAGAUGAAAAGGACUUUGAAAAGAGAGUUAAAAGUGCUUGAAAUCGCUGAACUGGAAGCGAAUGGAACUAGUGCUCUAGUUGAGAUUGCUGCAGGUGGCUGCAACAUCUGGGCUCUGGAACGCAAGUCCUUUGUCUGGUUUGGAGUAGUUGCU